AUUGAACGCUGGCGGCAUGCCUUACACAUGCAAGUCGAACGGCAGCACGGGUGCUUGCACCUGGUGGCGAGUGGCGAACGGGUGAGUAAUACAUCGGAACAUGUCCUGUAGUGGGGGAUAGCCCGGCGAAAGCCGGAUUAAUACCGCAUACGAUCUACGGAUGAAAGCGGGGUAGCUUCCGGCCUCGCGCUAUAGGGUUGGCCGAUGGCUGAUUAGCUAGUUGGUGGGGUAAAGGCCUACCAAGGCGACGAGCAGUAGCUGGUCUGAGAGGACGACCAGACACACUGGGACUGAGACACGGCCCAGACUCCUACGGGAGGCAGCAGUGGGGAAGUUUGGACAAUGGGCGAAAGCCUGAUCCAGCAAUGCCGCGUGUGUGAAGAAGGCCUUCGGGUUGUAAAGCACUUUUGUCCGGAAAGAAAUCCUUGGCCCUAAUACGGUCGGGGGAUGACGGUACCGGAAGAAUAAGCACCGGCUAACUACGUG
rnacentral:rRNA from 1 species